rnacentral:rRNA from 1 species
CCUACGGGAGGCAGCAGUGAGGAAUAUUGGUCAAUGGACGAGAGUCUGAACCAGCAAAGUAGCGUGAAGGAUGACUGCCCUAUGGGUUGUAAACUUCUUUUAUAUGGGAAUAAAACAGGGUAUGCAUACCCUCAUGUAUGUACCAUAUGAAUAAGGAUCGGCUAACUCCGUGCCAGCAGCCGCGGUAAUACGGAGGAUCCGAGCGUUAUCCGGAUUUAGUGGGUUUAAAGGGAGCGUAGGUGGAUUGUUAAGUCAGUUGUGAAAGUUUGCGGCUCAACCGUAAAAUUGCAGUUGAAACUGGCAGUCUUGAGUACAGUAGAGGUGGGCGGAAUUCGUGGUGUAGCGGUGAAAUGCUUAGAUAUCACGAAGAACUCCGAUUGCGAAGGCAGCUCACUGGACUGCAACUGACACUGAGGCUCGAAAGUGUGGGUAUCAAACAGGAUUAGAUACCCUGGUAGUC